rnacentral:tRNA from 1 species
UGGGGUGUAGCCAAGCGGUAAGGCACUGGGUUUUGGUCUCGGGAUCCCAGGUUCGAAUCCUGGCACCCCAGCCA